rnacentral:lncRNA from 1 species
CGGCACAAGAUCCUAUCUCAAAAACAAACUGAAAGCAGGAAGAAAAAGCGACCUCCUAAUGACCCACUCCCCAGUGAUAAGUGGCAGCUACUCCUGGCUGGUCUCUGUGGUUACAGCCCCAGGGAGACAGACCCACAGAGGCGUGGCCUUUGGCACAACACAUCUCAGGGCCUGGGCCAGGGACAGUCAUGUCCUCCAGGGCUGUCUGUGAGGGCUGCUGGCGUGGGUGAGGGCUUGGCUGACUCUUGGGAGAUGUGGAUGAUUAAGGAAAUCGAGAAGGGCAGGGAAGCCCCACACAUGUUUGGACCUACAGGCGUUUGGUAGUAGGAAAAGCAGCGAGUGAAGGCAGGGGAGAGAAGAUGUGAGAGCCAGGAAGCCAGGGAGACCGGAGGACUGGA